rnacentral:tRNA from 1 species
AAAAAAUUAGUUAAAUUUUAUAACAUUAGUUUGUCAAACUAAAAUUAUCAAUUCAUUGAUAUUUUUUA